rnacentral:rRNA from 2 species
AUUUGAGAGUUUGAUCCUGGCUCAGGACGAACGCUGGCGGCGUGCCUAAUACAUGCAAGUCGAACGAACUCUGGUAUUGAUUGGUGCUUGCAUCAYGAUUUACAUUUGAGUGAGUGGCGAACUGGUGAGUAACACGUGGGAAACCUGCCCAGAAGCGGGGGAUAACACCUGGAAACAGAUGCUAAUACCGCAUAACAACUUGGACCGCAUGGUCCGAGCUUGAAAGAUGGCUUCGGCUAUCACUUUUGGAUGGUCCCGCGGCGUAUUAGCUAGAUGGUGGGGUAACGGCUCACCAUGGCAAUGAUACGUAGCCGACCUGAGAGGGUAAUCGG